GUAGUUUCCAGAGGAAUGAGAGGAGGGAGCAGGUUGAACAUUGUUCCCUGAGAGGAGGAAGAGGAAGAGGAGGAGGAGGAGGAGGAGACCUGGACUCACCGGACAGCUUUGAACUGAUCAGAGGACGUCUGGGAGUCCUCCACCUGAGGGACAGUUCCAGGCAGGAAACAUGUCCAUAGACACGGACCAGUGGCAGAAACUUGGACUAUGGGCAGAAAAGGUCUCUGGUUCGUCUCUGGUUCGACUCCACGGAGAAACAACAAAAGACGAACCUGGAUUGAUCUGUCCAAAAAUCCAAGAGGAUUCUCCCUACCCUGUCUAGUGCCCCUGAGCAAGGCACCUUACUCCCCCAACAUCUGCUCCCCAUGCGCCGUACAUGGCUGCUCACUGUUCUGUGUGUCCUGCACCAGAUGGGUCAAAAGCAGAGGUUCAAUUCCCCUUCCAUUGCAUGAGUGUGCCUUUGCAUGUCUGUGCAUGUGUUUGGGACAAAUAAAUGUAUCUUAAUCUUAAUAUUUGAAUAAACAGAGGAAGAUUUAAGUUUUAAUAUCCUGAAACCACAGGAGCUCACAGUCACACCUCACAUGCUCUGAGCCACAGGAAAGAAGAGACCGAGGGAGACUGAUUAUCACGAGAUCCUCCGAUCCCCGUUUUUAAUCCAAUCGUUUUUCUGAAUCAGCAAACGGCAGCAAACAAUCUGCAUCUGAGGCGAAAGAGCCUGAACACACGCUGCCGCUGUCACGUCGACAAAAAGUUGGUGCGAUGACGUCAGAUGUUUUCAAAGUGUGUUUAUUUUGGCAAGCACCAUUCGAAGUAGAGCAAAUCUGUCAUGUGCUUCUGUUAUGUGAUGAAGAAUAAAAUUAUAUACCCAUGCAAAAUU